rnacentral:rRNA from 1 species
UAGAGUUUGAUCCUGGCUCAGGACGAACGCUGGCGGCGUGCCUAAUACAUGCAAGUCGAGCGAAUCUGAGGGAGCUUGCUCCCGAAGGUUAGCGGCGGACGGGUGAGUAACACGUGGGCAACCUGCCUAUAAGACUGGGAUAACUUCGGGAAACCGGAGCUAAUACCGGAUAAUUCUUCUCUACUCAUGUAGGGAAGCUGAAAGACGGUUUCGGCUGUCACUUAUAGAUGGGCCCGCGGCGCAUUAGCUAGUUGGUGAGGUAACGGCUCACCAAGGCGACGAUGCGUAGCCGACCUGAGAGGGUGAUCGGCCACACUGGGACUGAGACACGGCCCAGACUCCUACGGGAGGCAGCAGUAGGGAAUCUUCCGCAAUGGACGAAAGUCUGACGGAGCAACGCCGCGUGAGUGAUGAAGGUUUUCGGAUCGUA